rnacentral:tRNA from 1 species
GCGCUCGUAGCUCAACUGGAAAGAGCACCGGGCUUCGGUCCCGGGGGUUGGGGGUUCGAGUCCCUUCGGGCGCU